rfam:Ictidomys tridecemlineatus contig017823, whole genome shotgun sequence.
AUCCUUUCUAGUUCAUAAGCAUGGUUGUUCAUGCCACUACUUGAGAUAUAACUCCCUCUAAACUUGUUGCAACAUGGCACAUUUCCCGCCUGAUG